UCGUCCCUUCCCUUUCCUUUUCUUCCCUAAUUCGCACACGUAAACUAUGGCGGUGGUUGGUCCUUCAAAGCUUGAUGAAGAAGCUUUGAUCAUUUCAUCAUAAUACCCAACUUCAAACUUCCUUAACAAUUCUUAAAAAUGCCCAAAUUUUCUUGUGAUGUCAGAUGGCUUCUUCUUGUUGCUGGCUUGCUGCUGUCGCAUUUAUCUACAUACAGGUGGAGGCCGAAAAUUAUUGUACAGGACAAACACGGUUAUAUACUGAUCAAAUAAGCAUGCAACAAGGACAGUUUGCGGCAUUAAAAGGGUAAACCGAGCUUCCAUCUUUUUGGGAUUUUGCUGUGUGCUGCUGUAACAGCUGUCGGAGCUCUUAAGUCAGUUGUUCAGGGAAUUUUGCUGUCUUCUGAAGGGUCCUUGUGAAUGUGGUUCAUGUUGGAGUCGGCCCUAUUUCACAAUCUGAUCUGGACUUAGCUAAAGCUUGUGGAGCUUGUAUUAUCGGGUUCAAUAUUUGUAGCCCACAUGAUUCCAUCAAUCAAGAACCUGAAAGAGCCAAGAUAAAGAUAGUACUGCAUCACGUGAUCUACCACCUCCUGAACGACAUUGGUGCUUGAUACGGGUGGCUGGGGAAGCACAAGUGCUUGAUAUUUUUGAGAUCGCUGGUAGAAGCAAGGCUAUAGGGGCUGAUGUUAAGAUUGCGGGCUGUAAGGUGAUAACUGGUCACAUAGCUAAGUCUUCAACUAUGAGGCUUUUAAGAAGUGGGGAAGAUGUUUCUGAGGGUUGUUGUGCAUCUCUCAAGCACAAGCAGCAAGAUGUGGAGACGGUUAUCAAGGGAAAAGAAUGUGGUGUUGUCAUUCAAGGUUGUUUUGAUUUUCAGAUCGGUGAUUUGGUCCAAAGCUUGGAGUAAAUCAGACAGAAGCCCAAGUUCAUAUCAUCAGAUAAUGGUGUGUUCGAAAUUUCGAAUUGAGUGCUGAUGUUUAAAGAUAGCUAAAUGGAGAAGAGAAAAGAUUACUUUAACCUGGAUACAAAAGGGAGCUUAAUUUCUUUAUACCUAGAAUAAAUUAGAUUGUUACCCGGGAAUUUUUUGCCCACUUAUAGUUUCUGUUUAUUUAUUUGGCAUAUAUACAUCAAAGUUUGAUGUAAAAGGGGUGAUUAGGAAUUUUGACAUCAAUAGUUUGGAGAAUGUUACUUAAAUUGUAUAUAGAAGAACGCCCUAUGUCUUGUAAAUCUAAAUAUUUGAUUUUUAGCCACGAACUAAUUAGUUAUCAAAGUGCAUCAGUGCCUGUGGAAUUUUAACAUCAAUAGUUUGGAAAAUUUAUGUUAGUGUAAUUAGUUUAAUCUU